rnacentral:rRNA from 1 species
GAUGAACGCUGGCGGCGUGCCUAAUACAUGCAAGUCGAGCGAACGGACGAGAAGCUUGCUUUUCUGAUGUUAGCGGCGGACGGGUGAGUAACACGUGGAUAACCUACCUAUAAGACUGGGAUAACUUCGGGAAACCGGAGCUAAUACCGGAUAAUAUUUUGAACCGCAUGGUUCAAAAGUGAAAGACGGUCUUGCUGUCACUUAUAGAUGGAUCCGCGCUGCAUUAGCUAGUUGGUAAGGUAACGGCUUACCAAGGCAACGAUGCAUAGCCGACCUGAGCGGGUGGUCGGCCACACUGGAACUGAGACACGGUCCAGACUCCUACGGGAGGACGCAGUAGGGAAUCUUACGCGAUGGGGGAGAGCCUGACGGAGCAACGCCGCGUGAGUGAUGAAGGUCUUCGGAUCGUAAAACGCUGUUAUUAGUGAAGAACUAAUGUGUAAGUAACUGUGCACAUAUUGACGGUACCUAAUCAGAAAGCCACGGCUAACUCCGUG